CUAUGCGCCUUGCCAGCCCGCUCAGGUGUGCCAGCAGCCGCGGUAAUACGUAGGGGCAAGCGUUAUCCGGAUUUACUGGGUGUAAAGGGGGCGCAGACGGCGAUGCAAGCCAGGAGUGAAAGCCCGGGGCCAACCCCGGGACUGCUCUUGGAACUGCGUGGCUGGAGUGCAGGAGGGGCAGGCGGAAUUCCUGGUGUAGCGGUGAAAUGCGUAGAUAUCAGGAGGAACACCGGUGGCGAAGGCGGCCUGCUGGACUGCAACUGACGUUGAGCCCGAAAGCGUGGGGAGCAAACAGG
rnacentral:rRNA from 1 species